CUACGGGAGGCACCAGUCGAGAAUAGUCUACAAUGGACGAAAGUCUGAUAGUGCGACGCCGCGUGGAUGAAGAAGCAUUUCGGUGUGUAAAGUCCUUUUCUGUGUGAGCAAUGUUUUCCAGGUUAAUAGCUUGGAGAAAGCGAUAUUAACACAGGAAUAAGCUCCGGCUAACUCCGUGCCAGCAGCCGCGGUAACACGGGGGGAGCAAGCGUUGUCCGGAAUUACUAGGCGUAAAGGGUAAGUAGGCGGAAUUGUAAGUCAGAUGUUAAAGGCACCGGCUCAACCGGUGAAUGGCAUUUGAUACUGUAAGUCUAGAGUAAGGUGGGGGAAGACGGAAUUCCUGGUGUAGCGGUGGAAUGCGCAGAUAUCAGGAGGAACACCAGAGGCGCAGGCGGUCUUCUAUACCAUUACUGACGCUCAAUUACGAAGGUGUGGGUAUCAAACAGGAUUAGAUACCCGCGUAGUC
rnacentral:rRNA from 1 species